AGGAAAAAAAGUUUUCUAUGACUUGUCUAAUAUGAAAAAUGUGAGAAACAGCUGCUUUCUUUAAGAGUACUGGCCUGCUGGGCUCAGACAUUCAGGGUGCCUGAGCUAUAGAGUCCUCUCCAGAUAGAGAGCUGGGAGCAUACCCCUCUUCUGUGUUAUUGGUGCCAGCUCACUUCUGAAAGUGGCUUCACAUUUGGAUAGAGCCUGGGAAAAUUCAUACUGGAAGGGAUCCCACUAAAUAAAUAAUAAAUAAAUGAUUUCUUGCUAUGAGGUCAAAGUCAGGCAGGGUUUUUAUCCAGUCUGGCCUCCAGAUGGAGAUGAUGCUUUGCUCAGAGUAGGUGAAGACUGAGCCACUGGCUCCCACUUACCAGAAUCUGAGCAGCUUGUGUAGGAGUAGGGCCUAUAGGAUAAGCUUAAGCACAGAAUGCUGCUCAUCUCAGAGUAAAAAAAAAAUAAAAUUGAGACAGAAAUUAGACCUUCCUGGGGUGGUCUCUCUAAAGCACUGGGUUUUGAGUUGUUCCAGUUCCUACAAGACACUUGGGAUGUUAUCUGGUCAAGGGAAAGUCUGUGGUUUAGACUACUUACUUAGAAGAUGAAGAUUAGAGUGCUUUGACAUGCUGUAUAAUUCAGUAUUUUUUUUUAAACAUGGCACAACUUUAACAGCAGAUCGAAAGAGACUGAAGUUUCACAGCACAAUAUAGCUGCAUGAGGGCAUUAUUUUGUCUCAUACUGUGCACAUAUGCUUUAAAUGACUAUCUUCUGUUCCUACAAUAAGGAAGAAAGGAUAUCAACACCACAAAUUCUGCUUGCUACUUUUUUUGCAAAGGGAAGUUGGACCUGCUAAGUAGUAGGAGAGGAAUCUUGCCAGAGAUCCCACCCUGCUGCUUUGUAGUUCUUCCCUGUCGCCCUCUUACCCUUAGAUAACUCCUUACCUACUCCUCUCCUUCCACAGGCAUAGUUGUCAACACUAAUCCCAUUUUUCUGCAUACAGCAAGACACACUCCGGCUUUCUUAUCUCAAGCAUCCACAACAGAGGCUAAAAAGUUCAUAGUUUAGGCUCCCGCGUGUCUGGAGUAACACCUGAAGUGAGUGAUAUCCUAAUGAGCAUCAGAUGCAGCUCUGUAGGAAAUAAGUGCUGAGCAGGAGCCCAGCUGUGGUUCCUUCAGCCCAGAUACUCCCAGAGACCUACCAACUCCUCCCAGAAUGGUCAGGCCAAAGCUGAGGGGCUGCCCUUUCCCACUGGCAAAGCAGGACUUCGCACUGGAGGCUCCCAGGAGGCCACAUUUCUGCAUGAUAUUCUACAAGAGCCUCUAGGUACUGGGAAACUGGAAACGAGCCCCAGACUGUUCUGAGAGGUGCUCCAGUCUUGUGAUGGUCUUUGUGGCCCUCCUGCAGACCUGCUCCAACAGCUCAAAGGCAUGAAGGGCAUGAUCUCUGUGUAGCACCUGCAUAUGGCAGUCUGGAAGAAAAGAGCAUGAACUACAAGAGAGACUGUUGAGAGCUGCUAAUAGCUGUGUGGCUACACCAGCAAGCAGAAUGCCAAAGAAACUGAUGAUAAAGAGCCAUCUAACACUGAGUCACAGCAACCAGCAAGCUGAAGGGGAAGCAGAGCAUUGCAUCAACAAGUAGAGUGGCAAUAACAUCACCUCUAGGAAGCCCUUCCAUUCAGUCUCCAAAGAGAAGAGACAAUGCACUGAGAUCCAGUAUAGGUACUGUUAUUGAAUGGCUGUACCUACAAACAUGGUAAUUCACACUUACUCCACAUACCAGAGAAAGAUUUAAGAAUGAGAACUAUGCACAGGUUUGGAGAAGAAAUAAGAGCCAAUGCUUUCUCCUACUGCCUGGUCUAUGGAAAUGCAACUCCUCUGCCCAGAUCAGGACCGCUCCUUGCACCCCCCUUGGCUGCCCUGGAAGUGUGUAUAAAGCACUCUAUCCACAAAUCAGCUUUCAGUUGGUCAGGCUGGAGCAAGCCUAAAACUAAAAGAAAAUACCCGCAGAUGUGUGCAGCAUGGAUGCUGGGUCCCAAGGACCAACUGCUUUGCUCCACAGACCUGUUCUUCCAGGCCCAUACUGCUUCCUCAUGAGGACACAGCCCAAGAAACCCCUGAGCUUCUUGGGACUUUGUGAUUCCUCACAGCGAUGAUUCUGUCCAUUUAUUGAGCCCAGAAACAAACCUCAUUUCCUGGACUGUUACUGUGUCCUGUUCAGCUCCUCAGUGAAAAGCUGGGGCCAGUGAUAAUUGAAUUAAUUGUUCUGUCAAAUAGUGAAAAGUUCUGCUUUUUGCAACAUACUUUUUUUUUUCUUUUUGUCUGUUUAUUUUUUUACAAUAUCUUUUAGGCCUACGUGUUGUUUCUCUCAGAUUUUAGUUUCCUUCUGUAUGCAGUGAGCCAAGCAACUGCAUUUCAUAGUAAGUUAUUCAAACUUUAGCAAAAGGUCAGACGGGCCAUGGAUUAUGAAUAUCUGGAAACCAUUCCCUCAGAAGUAGAUGGACAUUCUGCCAUUUUUGCAGGAGUUUAGGGUGUAUUUAUUUUCCUAAAAAGAGCAGCAAUUUGUAUUAAAGCCAUUUUCCAGUUAUUCUGUAGGCUCAGGCACUAUGCAUGAAAGUUUUAUUACCCAUUGGUUAGACUAAUGUAUACCAGCUGUAAUCAGGACAACUUUGUAGUAUGUCACAGUUGGAGGGUUUUUUUAAGUAUUAUUUUCAGAUGACUAUACAUGUACAUACGUAUGUAGGUAUAUGGCUAUAUGACCUGUUUUGAGUGUCAGUUCUAGGUGACAAAAUAUAUACCAGACCAUUUAGAAAUAUCUUUUCAAGCCCAGUUGCCUGGGAACCUUUGUAUUUGUCUCCGCUCACUGUGGCAAACAACCUUCAUAUCCAUUAGUCAUGAAAAGUAAAUAGCUAACUUAACUCAGGCAAUAAAUCCAAAUAAUCAGUAAACAAAAGCAGGUGAUAAAUGUCAGCACAACUGAUAUUAUAUUAGAUCCCAGUUACUGAGUAACACUAAUGUGCAGUGAAUAAGGUUCAGAGGUCUGAGGAGAACAGCUGACAUGAGACAAAUAUACAAGCACUUAUUUUUAUCUCUUGUUUUUUAAAAGAUCUAGAAAUGAGGAAAAAUGCAUUGCCUAACUCUUAAACACUUGGAUCAUUAGUGAAAAUGUGAUCUACAGCCCAGAAGCCAUUCAGCCAUAGACUGGGUCUUCUAUGCGAUUUCCAUACCAGGUUUUGCUGUGCUCGUGGCUGGGGCUGAGAUGCUGAGCUGCCACCUCUUGGGUCCCGUAGUUAACCAUUAUGCUGCUGUUCACAUCUUCAGAUGCACACCAAUACACCUGAAAAUCUACUGGGCUUUUGCAUCUGAGUUGUUCGCUUUCAAAAAUGUAACCCCAAAUCACGUCUCUGCCUGAAACUGGCAGAAUGAAAAUGGAACCACAUUAUGCACAUAUGUAAACCCGACAGCUCUGUCUUCUUGGUGGUCUUCAUCAAUCAUUCAAAUUCUCCCAACACCUGCUUCCAGGAUAAAUUAUUUAUAAACCCCACAGAAUUUUGUCAGCACAUUGUUACAGUCAUCAACUGAGCUCUCUGAGCCCUUUGUUGAAACCCAAUGACCAAAUGCUGGCUGUGCAUCCAUACACUGAGCUUUAUUCACCACUGUCUUGUGCCACUGCUUGUAGUAAUGCAGAGCACCUGUAUCACAGAAUGGUUUGAGUUGGAAGGGAUCCAUAAAGGCCAGCUAGUCCAACUCCCCUGCAAUGAACAGGGACACCUACAGCAGAUCAGGUUGCUCAGUGCCCCAUGCAGCCUGACUUUGAGUGUCUCCAGGGAUGGGACAUCCACCACCACUCUGGGAAACCUGUGCCAGUGCCUCACCUCUUUUAAAUAAUCUGUAUGGUGUCACAGACUCUACUUGCUAUUUUGUACCUUU